UCCAUUUAUAUGUCGCAGUUUAGGAAGAAAUAAUAAAAAAAAGUCACUGUAUACAAAAAAAAUAAUGCUAUUUUUUUCAAGAAGAGGCAAGAAAGCGUUGGCGAUGUAGUAGACCAAACUUGACACACGCAGAAGGGAUACAUGUUAUUAUGUCGGUAUAGUGACAAAAAGUUCACAUUCGAUCUGCAACGAAGAGGCAAGAAAGCGUUGGCGAUGUAGUAGACCAAACUUGACAUGCAAGUUAAGUUUCCCUUUUUCCAAGUAAAGCCUAGCUCCAGUGACUAACCAAUGACCAGGACUAUGUUGAGGUCCUCUACAUAACUGCGAAAGAUCCACGAACUUCACAAUCUUGUUAUUCGCCGGCACAGGAGGUCCUCUUGGGAAAACACCGGAGUCCAAAACGACUUCGUUUUUGUCUUUGUUAUCAACCAUAUUAUGAUGAACACUCCCACUAGUCAACGGUAAGCUCAUUGUUGAGAAGAUACCAGAUUUUUUUGAAGUUCCUGGUCCAUGGACCCAUUCCUUCUGAACAACGUUAUGAUCAGAGACUCCGGUGAAACGGAGACGGAGAUGGAGAACGGAUUUUGAGCCGUGUUUCUUCACUUCUAGUUGAGCUCCGGUGACUAUGUAAGCGAUGUUGUUUGAGUUUUUGCUGGUUGUUGUUGUUGUUGUGAUCCAGUUUGGGUCGUACUUCACUGGAGCUGUACACACGUGUGAGAACUUUUUACCGUUUAAAGGUUCGAAGUAGCGGUUGCUGUCGGAGAUUUCGUCGGAGCCUCUCCAUAUGUGAUCGUCGGUGAUCUUUUCAUUGACCGUUGUCCUCGUAUUCUCUAGGUGUUGUAAGUGUAUAGCCAACCUGAUGUACAGAAAUUCAUUAUUAUUUCGUUACAUUUAUAGCUAUGUAUAUGGUUAAACUUUAUUGAAAACCGCAUUUGUACACAAAUUAUGAAAGAGAAAUAUCAUAAGACAACACUAAAACAUUGUUUAUUCUAAAAUAUCACACAAUUGAGAAAUUCUUUAAAUAAUAAUAAUUAAAAAAAUAAAAGUUAUAUUAUUUAACGGUGAGGUUAAAAUAAAGGUUUAAAGUUUGGAGUAAUUUAAGGUUUAAUAUCCUUUAAUUGAUAUUAUUUCGAAGUUUUUUUGUAUAUGGUAUUUUUGUUAUAAUUUUUUUAGCUGGCAAAGUGUUAUGUUAGUCCCUUCUAGGCCAAGAAAGCGUUGGCGAUGUAGUAGACCAAACUUGACAUGCAAGUUAAGUUUCCCUUUUUCCAAGUAAAGCCUAGCUCCAGUGACUAACCAAUGACCAGGACUAUGUUGAGGUCCUCUACAUAACUGCGAAAGAUCCACGAACUUCACAAUCUUGUUAUUCGCCGGCACAGGAGGUCCUCUUGGGAAAACACCGGAGUCCAAAACGACUUCGUUUUUGUCUUUGUUAUCAACCAUAUUAUGAUGAACACUCCCACUAGUCAACGGUAAGCUCAUUGUUGAGAAGAUACCAGAUUUUUUUGAAGUUCCUGGUCCAUGGACCCAUUCCUUCUGAACAACGUUAUGAUCAGAGACUCCGGUGAAACGGAGACGGAGAUGGAGAACGGAUUUUGAGCCGUGUUUCUUCACUUCUAGUUGAGCUCCGGUGACUAUGUAAGCGAUGUUGUUUGAGUUUUUGCUGGUUGUUGUUGUUGUUGUGAUCCAGUUUGGGUCGUACUUCACUGGAGCUGUACACACGUGUGAGAACUUUUUACCGUUUAAAGGUUCGAAGUAGCGGUUGCUGUCGGAGAUUUCGUCGGAGCCUCUCCAUAUGUGAUCGUCGGUGAUCUUUUCAUUGACCGUUGUCCUCGUAUUCUCUAGGUGUUGUAAGUGUAUAGCCAACCUGAUGUACAGAAAUUCAUUAUUAUUUCG
rnacentral:lncRNA from 1 species